ensembl:lncRNA
CUCAGUUGCCCCAGGGGGCUGGGUAGGACCUCUUGGGGGGCUCUCCUUUGCAAACACCCUCAGUCUCAGGAGCUCUAAGCUACCCUUCCCACCAUGGCCCACACACAUUUCCCUGCUUGGCAGCCACUAAAAGUAAUUUUCUUAAUGAUUUUAAUUAAGUAAUUUUCUUAAUUUUUAAACAAAACAUACCUGUAUGUUUAAGCGCAUAUAAUCCCCGGCCUAUAUAUUGGUUGACUUAGAAGUUUCUGUUAGCAUGUUCGAAGUCAUUCAGGACUGAGAUGCCGACUAGAAACGGGUAUCCCCUGUCCCCACCUCUCCCCACCCCACUCAGGCAACAGGGCCAUUUACUGGAGGGUAUGUAUCCGACGUGCAGAUGGAAAAAACAAUGGAGAAUCAGCUCAGGACAAAAAAAAAAGGGCAGAACAAGGACCAGAGUUGCCUUGGGGGUUCAGCAGCCCCCAGCUUUCUCUUUCAGAUACCAGUGCCAGACGGAGCCGCAUCUGCUACAUUUUCUGUCCUUGCCUCUGCACUGAAAGCUCACAGCUCCCACAGGGCGUCCCUCCGCCCCUCUUGGAAAGACGUGGAACCGCAGAAGAGCAGGAGGGAGAGGACCGAUGUGAGAGCAGGACACAAAGGCUGCAGAGUCCCAGCUGUCCCUUGAGCGCCAUCCUGAAAACUUCCCUUGCAAGAAUUUGCUGCCGGCCCACCUGGGACGGACGAGGAAGUGUCUUCCGCCUUUCCGGUGGGGACGCAUACAGCUUCAGGUCAACUUUCCUAACUUCACAUCUGGGUGAUGCCCUCCCAGCAGGCAUCCAACUCACCGUGCUGACUCACGAAGACUCCCGUGGCGCCUCUAACGGAGGGUCAGGUUGCCAGCAAGGACAGGGACUGGAAUAGGGGACUUGUCCUUGUAGGGGCCCAGUGGGGGGACUCAGCUUGAAUCUCACUCAGGAAAAGACUCUUCCUGAAUAGCAAACGUUGAAAAGGGUCCCCAUACCCCCCCUGAGCCAGUCACAGAACCCUCAGGCGACCUACGGCAAGAUGCUUGUCCCGAUUUGACCCAAUAAGGGAUCUUUCUUCCUCAGAUGUCAAGAGGUAGUGUCUCUGUACAUGGAGUGAGCAUUGAUGGCAGAUACACAGACUGCAUAUUUUCUGCCAACAGUGACAAAGGCCCGGGUAGGAGGGCUUUGCCACGCCAAGGCAGAGCAAGGAAGGGCCCAGGGCAGAAUGGGACAAAAAUGCCUCCUUGCCAGUCGCCCUGUGAAAAAGGGACUGGAAGUAGGUACAUCAUAACCCACUCUCCUGUGCAUAUUGAUCGCUCUAUAUACGGAGCAGCAUUUAUAAUUAUAAUGACAUCCCCACGUCAUUGAGCACUCCUUGGGUGCUUAUCAUACGAAACGUUUCAAAUAUGUUAUCUCGGGGCGCCUGGGUGGCGCAGUCGGUUAAGCGUCCGACUUCAGCCAGGUCACAAUCUCGCGGUCCGUGAGUUCGAGCCCCGCGUCAGGCUCUGGGCUGAUGGCUCAGAGCCUGGAGCCUGUUUCCGAUUCUGUGUCUCCCUCUCUCUCUGCCCCUCCCCCGUUCAUGCUCUGUCUCUCUCUGUCCCAAAAAUAAAUAAACAUUGAAAAAAAAAAUUAAAAAAAAA